AACGAAUAGGUAACUCGUAUAAAAAUAAUUAAUUGUUUAAGCGGAACGGCGGCCUAAAGCUUAUCGGACGAUUUUUUGGCGACAAAAAAAAAAUUAACAAUCGUCAGUUUUACCUCGCGCAUUUUAUUUGUUUCUGUAUGUAUUCCGUACAACAAUGAAAAGUCGACCGCGUCUAUGGUAAACAUAGUACUUGGUUUAUUUCAAUUUGUAUUGUUGUCGUUAUUACUUGAGGAAGCCGCUAAUUUGGUUUUCAAAAUCAAAAGAGCCGCGGACCCAAAAAGGUUGAAAACCACUGUCCUAGCGUAUAGCGUAUUGUCUGAACGACUCGGCUCGGGUUAGGGUUC